rnacentral:lncRNA from 1 species
AAAAAUGUGCGUAGUUAACUACCCUGUAAGAAUAAAAAGAAAAAACUUAAUUUCCCGAGCGCAACCCCCAGGUAUGGUCCUAGCACCAAUCCCUCUUGUACACAUGUUUGUAACAUGAAAUGAUAAUAAUCCAUGCCUCCAUUUGAUCAGUUGGGUCAGAGAGGAAGCUCUAAAGGCAGCUGGACGAAGGUUCAAGAAUUGGGUGGAGACUGUUAGACCACCUCAUAUAUACUUAAAAUGUUAAAGUAAAGAAAACUUAUUUAUUUAAAUUUUGUUCUGUACAUGCUUUCUCUCAAGUAGAUGUAGUAUCGGACUGCAUUUUUUGCUCCUUUUUUUAAUUAUUAUAAAUAGCUUAACACGAGGGCACUUGAGCCGUUAAAGUAAGAAUAUACAUUCGUUGUUUAGAUUUAGUUAUCAACACGCU